rnacentral:rRNA from 1 species
GACGAACGCUGGCGGCGUGCUUAACACAUGCAAGUCGAACGGAAAGGCCCUGCUUUUGUGGGGUGCUCGAGUGGCGAACGGGUGAGUAACAAGUGAGUAACCUGCCCUUGACUUUGGGAUAACUUCAGGAAACUGGGGCUAAUACCGGAUAGGAGCUCCUGCUGCAAGGUGGGGGUUGGAAAGUUUCGGCGGUUGGGGAUGGACUCGCGGCUUAUCAGCUUGUUGGUGGGGUAGUGGCUUACCAAGGCUUUGACGGGGAGCCGGCCGCAGAGGGUGACCGGGCACAGUGGGACUGAGACAGGGCCCAGACUCAUACGGGAGGCAGCAGUGGGGAAUAUGGCAAAAGGGGCGGAAGCCUGAUGCAGCAACGCCGAGUGCGGGAUGACGGCCUUCGGGUUGGAAACCGCUUUCGCCUGUGACGAAGCGUGAGUGACGGUAAUGGGUAAAGAAGCACCGGCUAACUACGUG